ACAAACAAACCCUGAACCCAAAAU
rnacentral:siRNA from 1 species